AGCGAACGCUGGCGGCAGGCCUAACACAUGCAAGUCGAACGGACCCUUCGGGGUUAGUGGCGGACGGGUGAGUAACACGUGGGAACGUGCCUUUAGGUUCGGAAUAGCUCCUGGAAACGGGUGGUAAUGCCGAAUGUGCCCUUCGGGGGAAAGAUUUAUCGCCUUUAGAGCGGCCCGCGUCUGAUUAGCUAGUUGGUGAGGUAAUGGCUCACCAAGGCGACGAUCAGUAGCUGGUCUGAGAGGACGACCAGCCACAUUGGGACUGAGACACGGCCCAAACUCCUACGGGAGGCAGCAGUGGGGAAUCUUGCGCAAUGGGCGAAAGCCUGACGCAGCCAUGCCGCGUGAAUGAUGAAGGUCUUAGGAUUGUAAAAUUCUUUCACCGGGGACGAUAAUGACGGUACCCGGAGAAGAAGCCCCGGCUAACUUCGUGCCAGCCGCCGCAGUAAAAC
rnacentral:rRNA from 1 species